CGUUUAUAAAAUUUGUUAUAAAAAUAUUAAAAAUCUUAAUAAAAUAUAACUUAAUUCUUGAAAUUAAUUUAAAUAAUCGUUAAAACAUAAAGGUAAUAGCCAUCUAGUGCCAAUAAUCGAACUAAAGUAUGUGUAGAAUCAGAGAGGAACCUAACCUAACCUAACCUAACCUGCUCGCGAUCUGUUCCGAGCUUUGGCGACACGUGUCCCAAGUGAGACAUAAAUUUUAAAAAAUCUGUUCCAAGCAUAUAUUUAAAAUUCCUAUAAAAAAAGAUAAUGCCAAUAUCAAAGUGCAGACGACAUCGAAGUCAUCGGACUUGAGAGCAAAUUAUCAUAGCCAUUCUGACGUGUUUAUUUGUUGCGCCUGUUCAGUGGUGAAAUCUGUUAUUUGACUCAUAAAAAUGUUAAAAAAGAGGAUUUUAUUGUUUGCGCAAAAAAGCACACAGGAUAAUUAGAUUAUUUUACAUACAUUUCCGAAGGAUUCGUAUAUACGUCAAAAAUGGAUUGAGGCUUGUGGAUUGCAUAAUAAAGAUGUAUCUCGUUUUUAUAUUUGCUUAAAUCACUUUGAAUUAUCUGAGAAUUUACUUGCAUUGAAGAGAUUACCUUUUGAGGCUAUAUCCACUGCAGAAAAAGCUGUACCAAAUCAUCCAGUUAAAUCAUCAAAUAUGUCAACAAAUAUUACAAAUGUAUUAAAAUCAAAGGGAAUGUUGCAUCUCCAACUGUAUUAUACAUAAUGGAUGGAAUAUUAUUCAGUCAAUAUUGAAAGUUGCGAUUCCUGAUCAUUCAUUGCCAAUGAUAGAAAAUACUUAUGUGUCUAAAACAUCUGAAGUAAAUGUUAUAUCUCCAACAGUACCUGAUGUAAUAGACUGAUAAUGCUGACAUAAUGGAAUGUGAUAACACUUCAGCCAAUAUCAAAAGUUUCAAUUUUUGAUCAUUCAUAUUGUGAAGAGAACGUUUCUUCUCAGGAAAACGGUUGUUUGCACAGUCUCAAUGUAUUUCGGAAAUUAAUAUUAGUGAUGCUCACCAAAAAAGUGCAGGAAGAGUAAUUAAUUUUAUUAAAGAAGAGGAUCAAAAGAAACAGUUGAAUUAGGUGUUUGAAUGAUUACAACAAAAGACUUCUAAAACAAUUUGUUACAUCGCAGGAAUUAGUAUCUCAUUUAAAAGAAACAAUUUCUGAAGAUGUAGAUAAUAUACUGAUCAAUAUGAUAAAAGCCUAAUAGAUAUCUUUUCUUAGAUAUAUAAUAAAAGGAAUUAUCAAAAAUUUUGAAGUAAUUACUAGUAAUAUUUUUCCUGAUACAAAAAUAAAAAUAAUUUCGGAGCUCCUCUUUACAUUACACUCAUCUUCUGUCAUUAGAACUAGUACUUUGUACGUAAUUCUCCUUUUAUUAUAUGUUGAAACCUUGUAUGUUUAUAUUUGUUGAUUUGAAGUAUUAAAUUAUUUUAAUAUAUUUAA